CAUGUAGGCGGUUUGGUAAGUCGGUCGUGAAAAUGCGGUGCUUAACGCCGUAUGGCGAUCGAAACUGCGGAACUUGAGUGCAGGAGAGGAAAGGGGAACUCCCAGUGUAGCGGUGAAAUGCGUAGAUAUUGGGAAGAACACCGGUGGCGAAGGCGCCUUUCUGGACUGUGUCUGACGCUCAGAUGCGAAAGCCAGGGUAGCGAACG
rnacentral:rRNA from 1 species